rnacentral:rRNA from 1 species
UACGAAGGGGGCUAGCGUUGCUCGGAAUCACUGGGCGUAAAGCGCACGUAGGCGGAUUGCUAAGUCAGGGGUGAAAUCCUGGAGCUCAACUCCAGAACUGCCUUUGAUACUGGCGACCUUGAGUCCGGGAGAGGUGAGUGGAACUGCGAGUGUAGAGGUGAAAUUCGUAGAUAUUCGCAAGAACACCAGUGGCGAAGGCGG